UACGUAGGGUGCGAGCGUUAAUCGGAAUUACUGGGCGUAAAGUGUGCGCAGGCGGCCGCGCAAGUCGAGUGUGAAAUCCCCGAGCUUAACUUGGGAAUUGCGCUCGAAACUACGUGGCUGGAGUGUGGCAGAGGAAGGUGGAAUUCCACGUGUAGCGGUGAAAUGCGUAGAGAUGUGGAGGAACACCGAUGGCGAAGGCAGGUCUCUGGGCCACUACUGACGCUGAGAAGCGAAAGCAUGGGGAGCGAACAGG
rnacentral:rRNA from 1 species